rnacentral:rRNA from 1 species
AUGGUGUGGCCGCCCGAGAGCGCGACGACGUCCACGACGUUGAGGCCGAGGCGCUUGAACUUGGUGAUGAUGGUGGGGAGGGUGUUGUUGGGUGCCGGGAUGCCUUGGUUGGAGCCCUGGAUGCUGGCGCCCAGAGAGUCCCUCCGGCCCAGCGGCACGUCCCAGAAAGGCCCGCCAACCUGCAUCGGUGACAUACGAGGAUGGUGGAGUCGCGGGCGGCGAGGGCGAGGAUGUCGGCGCAGGAGACGGUGCCGGGGCAGGCGGCCUCGAGGGCGGCCUUGA